rnacentral:rRNA from 1 species
GACGUAGGGCGCGAGCGUUGUCCGGAUUUACUGGGCGUAAAGGGCUCGUAGGCGGCCAACUAAGUCAGACGUGAAAUCCCUCGGCUUAACCGGGGAACUGCGUCUGAUACUGGAUGGCUAGAGGUUGGGAGAGGGAUGCGGAAUUCCAGGUGUAGCGGUGAAAUGCGUAGAUAUCUGGAGGAACACCGGUGGCGAAGGCGGCAUCCUGGACCAAUUCUGACGCUGAGGAGCGAAAGCCAGGGGAGCAAACGGG